rnacentral:rRNA from 1 species
GGGCAUGUGGUUUAAUUCAACGCAAAGCGAAGACUUACUACUCUUGACAUCCAGAGAACUUUCCAGAGAUGGAUUGGUGCCUUCGGGAACACUGAGACAGGUGCUGCAUGGCUGUCGUCAGCUCGUGUUGUGAAAUGUUGGGUUAAGUCCCGCAACGAGCGCAACCCUUAUCCUUGUUUGCCAGCGAGUAAUGUCGGGAACUCCAGGGAGACUGCCGGUGAUAAACCGGAGGAAGGUGGGGACGACGUCAAGUCAUCAUGGCCCUUACGAGUAGGGCUACACACGUGCUACAAUGGCGCAUACAGAGGGCGGCCAACUUGCGAAAGUGAGCGAAUCCCAAAAAGUGCGUCGUAGUCCGGAUUGGAGUCUGCAACUCGACUCCAUGAAGUCGGAAUCGCUAGAAAUCGGCCAUCAGAAUGCCACGGUGAAUAGUUUUCCCGGGCAAU